AUUGAACGCUGGCGGCAGGCCUAACACAUGCAAGUCGAGCGGGGUUUUCGGACCUAGCGGCGGACGGGUGAGUAAUGCCUAGGAAUCUGCCUAGUGGUGGGGGAUAACGUUCGGAAACGGACGCUAAUACCGCAUACGUCCUACGGGAGAAAGCGGGGGAUCUUCGGACCUCGCGCCAUUAGAUGAGCCUAGGUCGGAUUAGCUAGUUGGUGAGGUAAUGGCUCACCAAGGCGACGAUCCGUAACUGGUCUGAGAGGAUGAUCAGUCACACUGGAACUGAGACACGGUCCAGACUCCUACGGGAGGCAGCAGUGGGGAAUAUUGGACAAUGGGCGAAAGCCUGAUCCAGCCAUGCCGCGUGUGUGAAGAAGGUCUUCGGAUUGUAAGCACUUUAAGUUGGGAGGAAGGGCGAGUAAGUUAAUACCUUGCUGUUUUGACGUUACCAACAGAAUAAGCACCGGCUAACUUCGUGCCAGCAGCCGCGGU
rnacentral:rRNA from 1 species